ACAGUGAAGAAGCCAAUAAUAGGAGAUGGGUUUCUAACUUACUAUGCCCAUCGAAAAAGAUUACACAUGCAACAGGAGAAUAGAAGAUGGGUUUCAUGAAACCUAUUUUCAGUCCUUCCAGUGAAAUCCCAAUUGGCAUGAUUUUUCUGAGCUCAAACCCGAUCCAAACACAAGCCAGCAAGCCUCGUGUCAUCGAUUUCCGAUCUCCAAAACUCUACCCGGAACUCCUCUGCCCAGCACUUUAUCGUCGGCGCCCUCGCCACACACUCCGUCUCUGACACCGACGUCGUCGAUACCAAAGAGACCAUCUGCAAUGCCCAAAGGUUCUGGUGUAAUCCAAUGGCUCCAACCAAAAGCAAUACAUGAAAGAGAGCAAAACUUGCAAAAGCAACACGUGAAAGAGAACAAAACUUGUUGGAAACUUUUGUAAGAUUUGAGGCAGCAAUACUCAAGAGGAUACCAUGAAGCACAAGUUUGAAAAUAAGAAAAAUGAUCUAAUGUAGCUUAAGAAAGCAUGUACUGAUGUCACAUUUACAAUCCUUGCAACUAUAUACAUUUCUGGAAUGCCAUAGACUACAACUAAACAAAUAAGCACCACUCUUCUUCUUUUUUCUCUUUCUAGCAAAGAUGAUGUAUACUAGGCCUCUAUUUGAUUCUUUGUAACACAAACAAGAACUAUAAAACAUUCCAUUUAUUUGAAGUCC